rnacentral:misc_RNA from 1 species
AACGCACCUUGCACCCUUUGGUAUCCCAAAGGGUACACCCGUUUGAGUGUCAUUGUAAUAUCUCACCAUCCAACUUCUUGUUGCAUGUGUGGACUUGGAUGCUGCUGUGUCGCAAUGGCUCAUCUGAAAUGUCUGAGUACAUCCUGAGUUGUGAUGUGUUCGGUGUGAUAAAUCUUCACCGUACUUGACCUAUGGUCACGCUCACUUGACUCUGGCUCUGUGCUUCCAACCGUCCUAGUCGGACAAAAUUUGACAAUUUGACCUCAAAUCGGGUGGGACUACCCGCUGAACUUAA